rnacentral:rRNA from 1 species
UGGGGGAUAUUGCACAAUGGGCGAAAGCCUGAUGCAGCGACGCCGCGUGGGGGAUGAAGGCUUUCGGGUUGUAAACCUCUUUCGCUAUCGAACAAGGCCCGCUUAGGGUGGGUUGAGGGUAGGUGGAGAAGAAGCGCCGGCUAACUACGGGCCAGCAGCCGCGGUAAUACGUAGGGCGCGAGGGUUGUCCGGAAUUAUUGGGCGUAAAGGGCUUGUAGGCGGCUUGUUGCGCCUGCUGUGAAAACGCGGGGCUUAACUUCGCGCGUGCAGUGGGUACGGGCAGGCUUGAGUGUGGUAGGGGUGACUGGAAUUCCAGGUGUAGCGGUGGAAUGCGCAGAUAUCUGGAGGAACACCGAUGGCGAAGGCAGGUCACUGGGCCAUUACUGACGCUGAGGAGCGAAAGCAUGGGUAGCGAACAGG